AUAGCAUGCAGUCGAAUGCGAAAGUUAGCAAUACUAGUAGCAUGGCCGAAAGGGAUAGUAAUGCAUGAGCAAUCUACCCUCGACUCUGGGAUAUGCGGUAGAAAUGCCGAGUAAUACUGGACGCCGUUGCGAGAGGACAUCCUUUUGCAACGAAAGGUCCGCCGGUCGAGGAGGAGCUCAUGUCCUAUCAGCUAGUUGGCGGGGUAACGGCCCACCAAGGCAAUGACGGGUAGCGGGUGUGAGAGCACGACCCGCAUCACUGGCACUGAGACACUGGCCAGACUCCUACGGGAGGCUGCAGUCGAGAAUCUUCGGCAAUGGGCGAAAGCCUGACCGAGCGACGCCGCGUGGAGGAUGAAGGCCUUCGGGUUGUAAACUCCUGUUGGGAGGGAGCAAAUUUUGAGCGACCUCCUGAGGAAGCACGGGCUAAGUUCGUGCCAGCAGCCGCGGUAAGACGAACCGUGCGAACGUUAUUCGGAAUCAUUGGGCUUAAAGGGCGCGUAGGCGGCGGUGUAAGUUGGAAGUGAAAUCCCAUCGGCUCAACCGUGGAACAGCUUCCAGUACUGCAUCGCUCGAGGGGGAUAGGGGUUUGCGGAACUACCGGUGGAGCGGUGAAAUGUGUUGAUAUCGGUGGGAACGCCAGUGGCGAAAGCGGCAAACUUGACCCUUCCUGACGCUGAGGCGCGAAACUAGGGGAGCAAAC
rnacentral:rRNA from 1 species